CGUGUCGUGAGAUGUUGGGUUAAGUCCCGCAACGAGCGCAACCCUUGAUCUUAGUUGCCAGCAUUCAGUUGGGCACUCUAAGGUGACUGCCGGUGACAAACCGGAGGAAGGUGGGGAUGACGUCAAAUCAUCAUGCCCCUUAUGACCUGGGCUACACACGUGCUACAAUGGAUGGUACAAAGGGCUGCAAACCUGCGAAGGUAAGCGAAUCCCAUAAAGCCAUUCUCAGUUCGGAUUGCAGGCUGCAACUCGCCUGCAUGAAGCCGGAAUCGCUAGUAAUCGCGGAUCAGCAUGCCGCGGUGAAUACGUUCCCGGGCCUU
rnacentral:rRNA from 1 species